AUUGAACGCUGGCGGCAGGCUUAACACAUGCAAGUCGAGCGGGGUGAUGGUGCUUGCACUAUCACUUAGCGGCGGACGGGUGAGUAAUGCUUAGGAAUCUGCCUAUUAGUGGGGGACAACAUCUCGAAAGGGAUGCUAAUACCGCAUACGUCCUACGGGAGAAAGCAGGGGAUCACUUGUGACCUUGCGCUAAUAGAUGAGCCUAAGUCGGAUUAGCUAGUUGGUGGGGUAAAGGCCUACCAAGGCGACGAUCUGUAGCGGGUCUGAGAGGAUGAUCCGCCACACUGGGACUGAGACACGGCCCAGACUCCUACGGGAGGCAGCAGAGGGGAAUAUUGGACAAUGGGGGGAACCCUGAUCCAGCCACGCCGCGUGUGUGAAGAAGGCCUUAUGGUUGUAAAGCACUUUAAGCGAGGAGGAGGCUCUUUUGGUUAAUACCCAAGAUGAGUGGACGUUACUCGCAGAAUAAGCACCGGCUAACUCUGUGCCAGCAGCCGCCGUAA
rnacentral:rRNA from 1 species